rnacentral:lncRNA from 1 species
UUGAUUAUAAGUCUUAUUAAAUUAUAGGUCUUCAGACCAAGAGGAGUCAAAUCUAGCAAUAAUGAGAAGAACACAUGCCCCAGUGAUCAUGGACCUUUGUCUGGAUGCAUUGACUGGAUGACCCUUUGGUUUUGUUCUUUGUGGGAGAAACUGAGUAUGGCCAUAUUUUGACUGAAGCCUGAAAUGGCUACUUGAUGACUGUAGUGGGGGUAUUGCAUGAUUACUUUCACUAGUGUCCUUGUCUUCUUUAGCCCUAGCUUUCCUUGUAGUUGGUGUGGCCCUGUUACUAAGCUCUAAGUUAUGACUAACUGCAUUUGAGUGUAUGUGAUGUAAACCUAGGCUUGCAUUAUAAACCUCCCAUAUGCCUUCUUUUCUCUUUAUCUCAUACAUAGAUAAGCGGUGAAGACGUCACAGACCUAGAGAAGGGCACAUCUAUGAGAUGAAAGGUGCCUGAUCUCUUAAAUGACUGCAUGGCAGCCUUCAUUCCCAAUUCUGGACAAGUGACAAGUGAGAGCUAACUUUUUUAUUUAAUUAGAACUGAGAGAAGGCCAGCGAGACUACAGAGCUUGACAAAAUCCAGGGAAGAUGGUGGGAGAACUUACAGAACCUGAAUAAAGAUACGAAAUAACAAGAAUGCAUUGAAGAGCUGUGAGUCAAAAAAAGGAAUCAGAAAGUUUCUGCAAGUUGACAUAAAACCAACCUCUACAGUGGCCACUGUAGGGGGAUGGAGAAGAAAAUACUGGAAAGGUGCUGUGAAGGUCAUUCAACAGAGCUUGGUAGAGGCUGAAGGAUAAGGAGGUGGGUUUCAUACCUUUUUGAGAAGCCUCGCUGGAAUGUGAUUGAGUCACGGUGGCAGCUGAUGUACUCUUCGAAGACACUGCUACAGAUGGGCAUUUCUCAGUAAUCAGGUAAGUAGGCAAGCUGGCCUUUGUUCUCUGCAUAAUCUCAAGCGCUC